rnacentral:rRNA from 1 species
GGUUAAGCGACUAAGCGUACACGGUGGAUGCCCUGGCAGUCAGAGGCGAUGAAGGGCGUGCUAAUCUGCGAUAAGCGCCGGUAAGGUGAUAUGAACCGUUAUAACCGGCGAUACCCGAAUGGGGAAACCCAGUGUGAUUCGUCACACUAUCAUUACGUGAAUACAUAGCGUAAUGAAGCGAACCGGGGGAACUGAAACAUCUAAGUACCCCGAGGAAAAGAAAUCAACCGAGAUUCCCCCAGUAGCGGCGAGCGAACGGGGAGGAGCCCAGAGCCUGAAUCAGCAUGUGUGUUAGUGGAAGCGUCUGGAAAGGCGCGCGAUACAGGGUGACAGCCCCGUACACAAAAGCGCAUGUGUUGUGAGCUCGAUGAGUAGGGCGGGACACGUGGUAUCCUGUCUGAAUAUGGGGGGACCAUCCUCCAAGGCUAAAUACUCCUGACUGACCGAUAGUGAACCAGUACCGUGAGGGAAAGGCGAAAAGAACCCCGGCGAGGGGAGUGAAAAAGAACCUGAAACCGUGUACGUACAAGCAGUGGGAGCACCCUUUGGGGUGUGACUGCGUACCUUUUGUAUAAUGGGUCAGCGACUUAUAUUCUGUAGCAAGGUUAACCGAAUAGGGGAGCCGGAGGGAAACCGAGUCUUAAUUGGGCGUUAAGUUGCAGGGUAUAGACCCGAAACCCGGUGAUCUAGCCAUGGGCAGGUUGAAGGUUGGGUAACACUAACUGGAGGACCGAACCGACUAAUGUUGAAAAAUUAGCGGAUGACCUGUGGCUGGGGGUGAAAGGCCAAUCAAACCGGGAGAUAGCUGGUUCUCCCCGAAAGCUAUUUAGGUAGCGCCUCGUGAACUCAUCUCCGGGGGUAGAGCACUGUUUCGGCUAGGGGGCCAUCCCGGCUUACCAACCCGAUGCAAACUGCGAAUACCGGAGAAUGUUAUCACGGGAGACACACGGCGGGUGCUAACGUCCGUCGUGAAGAGGGAAACAACCCAGACCGCCAGCUAAGGUCCCAAAGUCAUAGUUAAGUGGGAAACGAUGUGGGAAGGCCCAGACAGCCAGGAUGUUGGCUUAGAAGCAGCCAUCAUUUAAAGAAAGCGUAAUAGCUCACUGGUCGAGUCGGCCUGCGCGGAAGAUGUAACGGGGCUAAAC